GGGUUCAUACGUUGGUCGGGCUUUUUGGUCUGUACUGGCGUGAUGGAUUCCUACCUUCUGAAUAACCGGAAUGUCAUUAAUUUGAUGUCGUGGAGAAUCAGGACUGUUACUUUGAAAAAAUUAGAGUGUUUAAAGCAGGCAUUAGCUUGAAUACAUUAGCAUGGAAUAAUGAGAUAGGACGUUUGAUCCUAUUUUGUUGGUUUCUAGAGUCGCCGUA
rnacentral:rRNA from 1 species